GCACCGGUCCCCCGGCAGGGAGAGAGAGCAGGGGCCCCGCUAGCCAGCCGGAGUGAGAGAGCCGCAGGAAUUCUACUAACUGGUUAAUUUGCAGGCAAAGGGCGAUGUAAAUUUCCCUGCGUGAGGGAGGGGGAAGGCUUCUCUUAGGAAAACAAAAAAACAAAGCAGAUCUUCGCCUCCGUGCGCGUAUUUCCCUUCUCCGCCGUGAUGAAAGUGUUCGCACUAAUUUUCCAGGGAGACCAGAAAAUAUGUAUGGUGUGUUUUGUCUCCGGUGGCAGCCUGGGUCACUGAGCACCGUCAUUCAAUGCGAUUUGUUGAUGGAUAGUUGGAAGAAUCGAACCUUUCAGUGUUGGGAGAGAAAAAAAAAAUCGCCAGACCUGCGCCUCGAGGGGAGCCCCCCACGAAAAAUCACUUGACGUGUUCCACCGGAAAGUUCCAGAAGCCGCAGAGCCAGGCGAGGAGGCCCAAACUGCAGCCCAGGCCAGGCGGGUUGGAUUUUGCUUCUGGUGGGAUACAUCCAUUCCACCCUGCAAAGUCUCAGCUCCUUGCAACACCAGCUCCAUAAAGGUCUAAAGUUCCAAGUCUCAUCCAGAUCAGAGAUGGGUAAGACUCAAGAUCUGUGUGAUGCAUUGCGAGACACACAAAGAUGGGACAUCUUCACACAUGGACGCAGAGUAAGCAACAAGAGAAUAUUGAGUGCACUUAUGGAUGCCGAGAGCCGUUUGUACCUUGCUGCUCUUAACCGAGAACAUGCCCCACACUAUUGACCUGAAAGUGAAAAACACCUUGAACUUGCUGUGAUUUUGAAAUGCUCCCUAUUCCCCCCCCACUACAACUGCCAUGGAAGGUCAAGCAUUUCUACUGACUUGGAAUAUACACUGAGGUCAGGUGGAGUCCAACAGCUGGGUCAGACUUGACCGGAAGCUGUGGUUUGAUCCGUUCACCAACCCCACGGACCCAGACAUCAAGGUAAUCAGGCUGACUAAGAGCAAAGCUUUGCUUAGUGGAGCACACAGACUUAGCUUGAGGGACUAAGUCCCCUAGGAAGUAGAGGAAAGUGAAAAGCUCUGGCCCCGUGUCCACAUGACAUUGGAACAGCUAAUGAAUUCGGUAGCAACAAGUAAAAGCCAGAAGGGUCUUCGCGUCUGGGAGAUACGAAUGGCCACGUGAAUCCAGAUAUCUUUGUACAUCUUUCCCCAAAACAUAACAUCACCAAGGAAUGCUCGUAAAAUGACACGCGACCCAUGCCUGUAGCACGAUCAGUCAACAGAGAACACCACAGCCAUCACAUGACGUGGAAAUAGAGGAAAAAGCUCCCAGUCCUAGGAAAGGACUACCGUCCCUGCAGGCCAGGGCAUGCUGGGAGAAGAGAGGAAGUCUCAGGAGACCCAGACAGGCUGAGAACAAGCAAUGGAAGUUCCAAAGGAUGCACAGGCACCUCAUCCCAGAAAAGUUCAACAGAAGGGAUCAAAGUGCUAAACAUGUGUCGGGGACAUGGUAGUUCAGUUGGUUUUUUUUUUUUUUUACAGGCAGAGAGGACAGUGAGAGAGAGAGACAGAGAGAAAGGUCUUCCUUUGCCGUUGGUUCACCCUCCAAUGGCCGCCGCGGCCGGCGCGCUGCAGCCGGCGCACCGCGCUGAUCCGAUGGCAGGAGCCAGGAGCCAGGUGCUUUUCCUGGUCUCCCAUGGGGUGCAGGGCCCAAGCACCUGGGCCAUCCUCCACUGCACUCCCUGGCCACAGCAGAGGGCUGGCCUGGAAGAGGGGCAACCGGGACAGAAUCCAGCGCCCCGACCGGGACUAGAACCCGGUGUGCCGGCGCCACUAGGCAGAGGAUUAGCCUAGUGAGCCGCGGUGCCGGCGGUAGUUCAUUUUUUUAAAAAGAUUAUUUAUUUGAGAGGCAGAGUCACAGAGAGAGGGAGAGACAAAGAGAGAGGUCUUCCAUCCUCUGGUUCACUCCCCACAUGACCUCAAUGACAGGAGCUGAGCUGGUCUGAAGCUAGAAGCCAAAUGGAAGAUCUCUCUGUCUCCAUGUGUCUGUCUGUCUGUCUGUCUGUCUCUCUUCCAAAUAAAUGAAAAAUAAAUUAAACAAAUUUAAACAAAAGAAGGAAGAAAAACUAUGUGUGGGCUUCAAUUUUUUUAGUCCCAAAACAAUUUAUGUUUUAAUACCAUUUUUCCAUGAACUUUUUUUAUACAUUUAUUUUUUAAAUGAUUUAUUUAUUUAUUUGAAAGGCAAAGUUAACGGAGUUGCAGAGGGAGAGAGAGAGAGAGAGAGAGAGAGAGAGAGAGCUCCUCCAUCCCGUUUCACUCCCCCAAAUGGACAAAUGGCAGAAGCCCAGGAGCCAGGCGCUUCUUCCAGGUCUCCCACGUGGGUGCAGGGGCCCAAGCACUUGGACCAUCUUCUACUGCUUUCCCAGGAGCACUGGCAUGGAGCCGGAUCGGAAGUGGAGCAGCUGGGACUCGAACUGGCACCGUACGGGAUGCUCAUGCCGCAGGCAGAGGCUUUACCCGCUACAGCACAGCUCCGCACCCUCAUACAGGGAGAAGAAAAGGCAAGUCAGGGUCCGAAGCUGUGUGGAUUCCUGAGACAGAGGACGGCUUAGAUUCUAUGGCACAGUCUCUGCCCCCUUGGCCUUGGUGAGUCAGCAACAGCAGCCAGGUCGCACAGCCUUGGAACCAUGGAGGGAUCCCCCCACCCCAUGGAGGAGCUCGGUGGCCAAGCUAGCUUCAUGACCUGGCCCAGGGGGCUUGGUCAGCACACCUGUGCCCUCACCUGUCCACUCUGAGCCCUGGAGGCCCCAGGCCAACUCUCUGUAAUGGGAGAGGCGCGACAUGUGGUGGGAGGAGAGGGACUGGGCCAAGGGAAGGGAAUUUCCUGGUUAGCAAAACCCCACUGAAAUUUCCCCCUUUUCUCUCUCUUUGUUUCUCCUAUUCUCCCCCUGAAGCGGCUUGCCUUGGAGUCAAAGCAUUUUACAAAAACAAACCACGCCAAGGCUUUCAAGUGGAGGGAAAGCUCGAGCAAAGUUAAUUAACAUGAAGGUUCUCACAAAAGUUAAUUAACACGAAGGUUCCCACAAAAGCCGGCUGCUGGCAUCUGCUCGCCUGCCAUGCGCGGCGGCCGCUUUGUACCGGGGCGCACCCGCGCCUGCCCCGCGCGCGCAGCCGCCUGGCUCGCAGGGCGCGCCGCGAUCUUCCACGGAGCUGCACGCUUUCGGGGCGCCUUGCUGCGGGGGUCCUCCCGGCGGCCUGGAAGCACACCCCUCCCCCGCCCCCACGCACAGUCAGGACAAGCGGGCUGCUACGAUGCUUGCUUGAGAAAAGAGCCAGAGGGGUUGGGAGUGGGGGCGGGGAAGAGAGGAAGGGAGGCAGGAAAAUCGGUAAAAUCUCCUUUGGGAAAAAGGUGCUUCAUAUAAAUAAAGAUUGGUUUUUGGUGAGGAAAUUUGGAAAUACAGAUACAGGCAAAAUGCAAAUCACUCGACAAAAAAAGUCACAACACAACACAAUGAAUAAUAAAAUAAUAGAAAUAAUGUUAAUAUCAAAUAAAUAAUAUUAAAUACUAUAUAUGUAUGAAUAACAGGAUCAUAUAAAGAAAGGUAUGGAAAUAGACACAUUUCAGUGUCAGCAAAUAUAUGCUCUCUCGUACCCACAAGCAUUUUUCUGAUCUUCCAGAUAACCAAAGGUGCACAAAUAUGCAUGUGAGCUCGGCUGUGCCACUGUUGAUGGUGCACAGCCACACACACAUGUGAGGUGUUUAUUUAAAUCACCACAUGAAGAAAGGUCAUUCUCUUACACAGAGUUUUAUUGCAGGGAUUCUUCCCCGGGAAGAAGUUGUACAAUUGUGGACAUUUAGCAUAGUGGUUAAGAAGCCCGUGUCCCCUGUGAGAGUUCUUAGUUCCAGCUUCCUGCUACUGCACACCCUGGAAGGCGACAGGUAUUGGCUCAAGUGCUGGGGUUCCCGACACCCAUGUGGGAGCACUGGACUGAGUUCCUGACCCCUUGCUCCCGCCCCAGCCAGCCCUGGACAUUGUGGGUGUUUGGGGGAGUCAACCAGUGGAUGGGAAUCAAUCUCUGUGUGUGUUUGUGUGUGUGUGUGUCUCCUCUCUCUGCCUCUCCAACAAACAAAAAUUUUAAAACUCCAUUUGUUUGGAUUUAUGAAUUUUGGAGUUGGAUACAUUUGAUAUUGAGACUUAAAAAAGAUUAUUUAUUUACUUAUUUGAGAGGUAGAGUUACAGACGAUGAGAGGGAGAGACAGAAAGGUCUUCCGUCUUCUGCUUCACUCCUCAAAUGGCCGCAACAGCUGGAGCUGGGCCAAUCCGAAGCCAGGAGCCAGGAGCUUCUUCCGGGUCUCCCACGCAGGUGCAGGGGCCCAAGCACUUGGGCAGUCUUCUGCUGCUUUCCCAUGCUAUUAGCAGAGAGUUGGAUGGGAAAUGCAGCAGCCAGGACUUGAACUGGUGUCCGUAUGGGAUUCUGGCGCUGCUGGUGGCGUUUUUACCUGCUACACCACAGCUCUAGCCCAGAUAUUGGGACUUUAAUAAUGGGGAUGUUUGCUAGCAAUGACGAUGUAGUGCUCAUUGGAGUCCCUGGAAUGAUCCCAGUGGUCACAAAGCAGUAAGAAGUGACUGAUACGUGGCUGAAGACACAGGCUGGCUGCCUGCUCAGCCUCUGUCACAGUUCCUGUAGCGGCUCUAGCGCACCUGCCCAGGACCUACCUGGGCUGGUUCUCUGGGAUUUAUUUAGGAAUUUGGGGGCCUGGGACUGAACUGACUGGGACACAGAAAGAAGGUCAGAGGAAGGCUUGAUUCUCAUUGCAGAUGGCUCCUGUUAUUAUCGGGAGAAGUUUUUUUCUCCAAAUGGUUCUUACAUUUCCGAGUGUCCCUUAGACUGGGUUCAAUGGCCCAGUAACUGCUUUGUUCACUUCCGUACACAGAAGCAUUUUGACAUGAUCAGCUCAGGGAGAAAACUGGAGUCUACCCACUGCAGUGAUGUGGAUGGGCUAGAGACAUAGUUGAAUGUUUGUCUUUGCUCCUGACAGGCCAUAUCAGAAGAGUCUGAAGGCUGAUGACAGGAAUGGCAGCCUUAGACAGUCAACCCUUAGCAUUGGUGGGAGAGUGGUUCCAGGACUUCCUUGAAAACUCAGAUCCUCAGUUGGUGGAGUCUCUUAGAUCUAAAUGCAUAGGAUCUGGAUAUAACCUCUGUGUAUCCACCUGUACACUUGGGAGAUAGAUGGGUAGAGUUAGAGAGAGAGAUUAGAUAGAUAGAUAGAUAGAUAGAUACUGAUAUGCCCACCAUGGCUAGGACUGGGCCAGGCCAAUGUCAAGAACCAGAGAUUCAAUCCAGGAUUCCCACAUGGGUAGAAGUGACCCAAUUACUUGAGCCAUCACCUGUGGCUGCCAGGUGGGUAUCUUAGCAAGAAACUGGAGUCAGGAGCUGCAGCCAGGUAUUGAACCCAGGCCCUCCGAUGGGACAUAGCAAUCUUAAUCAGCAUCUUAACUGCUAGGCUGAAUGGCCACCUCAUCCCUUGUGUACCUGAAACCAUCUCUAGAUUACUGGCAAUAUCUAGUACAUUCUUUGUACACACUCUGUGAAUAGUUGUCAUACUGUACUGUUUAGGGAACAAUGACAAAGGAAGCAAGUUUGUAUGUGUUCAACACAGACACAACCAUCGUAGGCCUGACUGCAAAGUCCACAUCAGCAACAAUGCAACGUUUCCCCCUGAAUCGUUUCCCUCUGCUGUUGCUUGAAUCUGGGGAUGUGGAACCGCUGGAGAGAGAAGCAAGACUCUACCAGGAAAAUGCAAACUCAGUAGACACCAGGCAGUUUUGUAUGGAAGUCAGGGGCAGGCAAUGGCUUCAAUGUUUGUGUCCCCCUUCAAAUUCAUAUAUAAGAUAUUUCCACCAAGUUCAUGGAAAAUGCAUAUUAGGGAAAAACUAUGUAGCAUAUGGCUUUAAAAAUUUUUUUUGCACCCAAAGGAACCUACAUUUUAAAAAGGCAUAUUUAUUUACUCACAGAGAGAGAGAGAGAGAGCGAGAGCGAUGGCUCAUCUGCUCAUGCACUCCCCAAAUGCCUACAGUGGCUGGGUCCAAGCCAGGAGCCAGGAAUGCAAUAUGAAGUCUUCCACGUGCAUGACAGGGACUUGGUUACUUGAGCCAUCCUGCCUCCCAGGGUCUGCAUUUAUUUAUUUAUUUAUUUUUGACACAACUGUACAACUUCUUUCUAGGGAAGAAUCCUCGCAGAACACAUUUGUUUUAGAGAAACAACUUUUCUCCCUGAGGUCUGUUAAGCACCACACAUGGGUAUUUGGUUGUGUAUGUCCAAGAGUGGCAUAGCAAAGCCACUGGUUAGAGUGGAAGGCAAACCCAAGUGCUUGGGCCCCUGUUAGCCAAGUGGGAGACCCGGACUGAGUUCCUGGCUCAUGGUCUUGGCCUGGCCCAAGCCCUGCCUUUGCAGCCAUUUGGGGGUGAAUCAGUGGAUGAAGCUCUUCCUCUUCUCUCUCUCUCUUUCUCUCACUCUGUCUUUUAAAUAAAUAAGAAAAAAACUUAAAAAUAUAAAUAAGAUGUACAAUGCAAUGGUUUUAUUAUAUUUGGCCAAAGUACUUGGGCCAUUAUCUGCUGCCUUCCCAGGGACAUAAGCAGGGAGAUGGAUUGGGAGCAGACCAGCCAGGACUUGAACCAGCGCUCUGAUAUGGGAUGUCAGCAUUGCAAGCAGUGCCUUAAUCUGCUAUGCCACAACUCUGGUCCCUGGAAUGUACACUUGAAGUGAGUAAAUUCUAUGGGAUGUGAUCACAUUCUAAUAAAGCUAUUGAAAGAAUAGGAGCCCAGAGGAUGAAGAUGAAAUUGUUCAGCAUGCACACACACUUUUUUAAAAAUGAUUUUUAUGUUUUAGUUAUCAUAUAUGAGGUAGAUAUUUCAAAAAGUUUGUGAAACAUGAAAUUUAAAUAUAAGUUUAGGGGCCAGCACUGUGGCGGGUAAAGCCGCCGCCUGCAGUGCCGGCAUCCCCUAUGGGCUCCAGUUCGAGUCCCGGCCUCUCCAUUUCCAAUCCAGCUCUCUGCUGUGGCCUGGGAAAGCCAUAGAAGUUGCACCUGCAUGGGAGACCCAGAAGAAGCUCCUGGCUCCUGGCUUUGGAUCGGCACAGCUCCAGCCAUUGUGGCCAUCUGGGGAGUGAACCAUCGGAUUGAAGACUAUCUCUGCCUCUCCUUCUCUCUCUGUGUAACUCUGACUUUCAAAUAAAUAAAUAAAAAAUCUUAAAAAAUAUAAGUUUAUUUUGGCAAAAACACUCUGAAAU